UUCGUGUUGAUUCAGUUUUUGCAUUAAGAUUGUUUAUAGAAGCAUCCACAGAUUUAAAUGAGAUUCGUCCUAUUCUUCUUCAACUACUUGACGAGAUUUUCAAACUUAUGAAUGAAGUUGAGAAUGAGGAUCUUGUCUUUACUCGGAAGACUAUAGUGGACAAGUUUGGGGAGGAGAUGUCUCCUUAUGCUCUUGGAUUAUGUCCGAAUCCGGCAGCUGCAUUCUGGAGGUGC